UACGUAGGGAGCGAGCGUUGUCCGGAAUUACUGGGUGUAAAGGGAGCGUAGGCGGGAAUGCAAGUUGGAUGUGAAAACUCCGGGCUUAACCCGGAGACUGCAUUCAAAACUGUAUUUCUUGAGUGAUGUAGAGGCAGGCGGAAUUCCUAGUGUAGCGGUGAAAUGCGUAGAUAUUAGGAGGAACACCAGUGGCGAAGGCGGCCUGCUGGGCAUUUACUGACGCUGAGGCUCGAAAGUGUGGGGAGCAA
rnacentral:rRNA from 1 species